rnacentral:sRNA from 1 species
GCCAGGUGUGGUGGUGCCUGCCUGUAAUCCUAGUAGCUCAGAAGGCUGAGGCAGGAGGAUUGUGAGUUCAAAGCCAGCCUCAGCGAUUUAGUGAGGCCCUAAGCAAGUUAGUGAGACCCUGCCUCAA